rnacentral:tRNA from 1 species
GGUUAUAGCUCAGUGGUAGAGUGUGUGCUUAGCAUGCAUGAGUUCCUGGGUUCAACUCCCAGUACCUCCA